AGCCCGCCCUCCGGGAGCGCGGAGCCCAGUCCCAGCGCAGGGAACGCGACUUCCGGUUCCUUCCGCCCGUAAGCCCCGCCCUAGUCCCGCCCCUUCAGGAAAAGAACUGUGUUACCAAGGGACUAUUUUCGUAUCUGUGUCACAGAUUUGUUCCAAAAUAGCGGAAGGAGACAAAGGAAUACGCAUGUGUUGUUAGUAGUACGUCAUGUUUUGGAAACAAAGCGGGGUGAAGCGCGAGAUGCGGCGAGGUGACUGCGAGGGCCCCGCCCCCUGCAGGACGAGGCGGAGUUAUACAGGCAAAAGAAAAGGACGAGGUUGAAAAAAGAUCGCGAGUCUGAGGCCAGAACAGUUGCUGCACCCCCAGAAGGGACUCAUGCUGACCUUGUGGCCAUCCUCGAGCCCAGGCACUCAUGGGUCUGCUCUUCACUCCUGGGUCUGCCUUUCCUGGGAUGUCACAGAAACCCAUGGAUCAAUGCAAAGCAUUUUGCACCUGGCUUUGAGGCUUGGCACAGUGCAUGUGAGAGCACAUUGUUUCAACACGCUGAAGAAUGAUAUUCUGAAGAGGCUGCUCGUCUACCUCACCACCUGGCCCCUCUCGGGGUAAAGUGUUUGCUGGCCCUCUGGGGGCUUCCUCUUGAAGGCUUUCCCACAGCAUUUCAAACACAUUAAAAUGUAACCAUUUUUCAUAUUUAA